UAGAGUUUGAUCAUGGCUCAGGAUGAACGCUAGCGGCAGGCCUAACACAUGCAAGUCGAGGGGUAACAGAGAAGCUUGCUUCUGCUGACGACCGGCGCACGGGUGCGUAACGCGUAUGCAACCUACCUCAUACUGGAGAAUAGCCCUUGGAAACGAGGAUUAAUACUCCAUAGUAUCAUUCUUUCGCAUGUUAGAAUGAUUAAAGAAUUUCGGUAUGAGAUGGGCAUGCGUCCCAUUAGCUAGUUGGUGAGGUAACGGCUCACCAAGGCGACGAUGGGUAGGGGGCCUGAGAGGGUGGUCCCCCACACUGGUACUGAGACACGGACCAGACUCCUACGGGAGGCAGCAGUGAGGAAUAUUGGUCAAUGGAGGCAACUCUGAACCAGCCAUGCCGCGUGAAGGAUGACGGCCCUAUGGGUUGUAAACUUCUUUUAUAUGGGAAGAAACUUAUCUACGUGUAGAUAACUGACGGUACAAUACGAAUAAGGAUCGGCUAACUCCGUGCCAGCAGCCGCGGUAAUACGGAGGAUCCAAGCGUUAUCCGGAUUCAUUGGGUUUAAAGGGUCCGUAGGCGGAUUUUUAAGUCAGUGGUGAAAGCCGGCAGCUUAACUGUCGAACUGCCAUUGAUACUGGAAAUCUUGAGUACAAAUGAAGUAGGCGGAAUGAGUCAUGUAGCGGUGAAAUGCAUAGAUAUGACUCA
rnacentral:rRNA from 1 species